rnacentral:rRNA from 1 species
UACGUAGGGAGCGAGCGUUAUCCGGAUUUAUUGGGUGUAAAGGGCGCGUAGACGGAUCUGCAAGUCGGAUGUGAAAUCCCUGGGCUCAACCCAGGAACUGCAUCCAAAACUGUAGACCUUGGGUAUGGGAGAGGAGAGCGGAAUUCCUAGUGUAGCGGUGAAAUGCGUAGAUAUUAGGAGGAACACCAGUGGCGUAGGCGGCUUUCUGGACCAAAACUGACGUUGAGGCGCGAAAGUGUGGGGAGCAAAC